CACAACUUAAUUGAAUACUACAAUUUCAUAAGGAUGCUAACAUAUUUUAUGGGUGAAUGUCAACCCGAAAAUCUUCAACUAAUAGAUUGAACCUAAAAUCUAAAACCCACCCCUAAUCAAUGCGCGACAAUAAAAGGUAAUAGCUGAACACAAAAAACAACACGAAUUUGUGCAAUGUAGCCCGUACUACAGUUCUUUAUAACUUAAAAGAAACCAGAAUUUCAAUCAAGCAACCCAAAUAUACAUAUUUCAGUUCCAAGCUCCAUAACACUGUGCUAUUCGUAUGAACACAAUUUAAUGAAAGUGUUUUCUAAAGGAAAUGUAAUGAGAGAUAGUGGCUUAGUUUACUUCUCUCUUCAAUCAAGCUCAUGAAAUGCAACAUAGAUAGAUACGCCUAGCAAGGAUCACAAACACUUAAGGUCAAUUAGAAGCCUGAUUUCAUAAAUUUCAAAAUAGCGCACACAAAAUUGACUUGGCGCGGGCAUGGUCAAAAUGAUCCUAACACUUCAGGCAUGUUUCUGUUUGAGAACCAAGGAGAAUCAGUAAAGACAACUUCAAAUGGAUUCAGCUAUUCAAUUUCAGAAUCACAUCACAAACAUUAGAACAUCGAUAACAAGAUUCAAAAGGAUAUAGGCUUAAAUUAAGAGUAAAUGAAUUUAAAAAGGGUCCAGAUUUCCACUUAGCAUACGCAAUUCGCAUGUUAAACCAACAGAAACCAACGGAGCCCUUGAUUUAUUUGAAAUCCAUGUCAAAAACCAAAGAACUUCAUGAAAGAAUCUGAAGAACCGUGUCGAUGGUUCAGACACUUAUCUCUUUACAUAAACCAUUUAGAAACUAACACCAAUAACAACAAAAUCGAAUGGUGAAGGUGGAGGAAAUUAAACAGAACUAUAAUAUGGACUAUUCAAAUCUGUUCUUAAUUUUAUUCCAGCGAUGCGUAUACUAAUUUAGGACUCUCAAAGAAAAGUUGAACACCAGACUAUUGCAGCCAAACAAAUGGAUAUGCAGCCAUGAACUAGAGGAUGUGCAUUUUAACACAAAUACAUGAACACCAAAUUCCGAGCGGACUAACAAAAUGGACUCUUCAAUGUUUAAAGUUUACAUUCAAUCCUUCGGGAAAAUCAACACAUUGAAUACUAUCAAAACCACAAAAACCACGACUCAUCGCGUUUUCAACCAAUCAUCACGAACAACUAAGAAAGAGCCAAGAAAUGAACCUGAAAUUUGUGAAAUUCUUCACUUAAACUCAGCUAAAUCCAGCAAUGGAUACUUGAAGCAACAGCAGCUGACGAACAGGAAUCAAAUCAGUGACCAAACUCGAAAGUCGAACUUGAUUNNN
rnacentral:lncRNA from 1 species